AAGAAAUUAAAUAUCAAGAUUAAAUUACGUAGAAAAAUUUAGAAUAUAAAAUAAAAAUAUUAGAAGGGUAAAGGAAUAUUUAGUCGGAUAGAGUUAUUUCUUUUUGUAUCAUUCUUACUUUGCUUAGAUCGCCUGGGUCCAUCUAGUGCGCCUCCAGGACAACAUCAAAGCUAGAAUUUCGCUCUCCAUCACAGUACUAGGAAGCAGCGGAUUCAACUGAAGCUCUGUAAUCUUCUCCGCAGAGUUAUAAAUGUAAACUUAAUAUUUCUGUUAUUUAAUUUUGGAUGUAUACAUUAUUCUAUUAUCAGAAUGUUAUUGAACUCCGCAGUUAUAGGGUUGUGUAUUUCCAAUUGGGCCUUGCCGUAUGCGUUGUUUUAUAAACGGUUGAUUGUAUUAUUAGACACAGGAAAAUCAGUAUGCCCAUAUUAUGAACGUGAUUGAUAAUGACUAGGCCCAAACUAAAUUUUAUUGGAGAUAAUUAAAAUUGGGCCGGAUUGUAU